rnacentral:rRNA from 1 species
UACAGAGGUCUCAAGCGUUGUUCGGAUUCAUUGGGCGUAAAGGGUGUGUAGGUGGCGCCGUAAGUCGGGGGUGAAAUUUCGGAGCUUAACUCCGAAACUGCAUUCGAUACUGCGGUGCUUGAGGACUGGAGAGGAGACUGGAAUUCAUGGUGUAGCAGUGAAAUGCGUAGAGAUCUGGAAGAACACCAAAGGCGAAGGCAGCGUCCUGGGAAGCAUCUGACGCUCAGGUGCGAAAGCUAGGGGAGCGAACGGG